rnacentral:rRNA from 1 species
UACGUAGGGGGCAAGCGUUGUCCGGAUUUACUGGGCGUAAAGGGCGCGUAGGCGGCCUGUGCGCGUCAGUUGUGAAAUCUCCGAGCUUAACUCGGAACGGUCAACUGAUACUGCUCGGCUAGAGUGCGGAAGGGGCAACUGGAAUUCUUGGUGUAGCGGUGAAAUGCGUAGAUAUCAAGAGGAACACCUGCGGCGAAGGCGGGUUGCUGGGCCGACACUGACGCUGAGGCGCGAAAGCUAGGGGAGCGAACGGG